ensembl:lncRNA
AAUCAGAGAACAGGGGGAUGUCGACGGCAUGUUUCCGCGUAUCACCGCUAAGUGGAGGGGUCAGUGCUUCUAGUCAGGUGUCAAUCAAGUUGCCGAACCGUGCCGAAGGUGUACGAAAGAAUGACAUAAUCCUCAGGGGGCGUGUCAGAGGUAAAAAAAAGUUCAGUACUGAUGUUCGUGACCUACGACGAGAGUCAUUGCCAUGGAGCUCAGCAUCAUUUUUACUGAGGACAGCGAAACUUCAUUUCAAAACUAAAUACAGCGGUAUUACAGAUAACAAGAGGUAAGAAAUGAUAAUCUAAUUGCAAACUUGUACAUGUUUUUUUUUUUUUAAUUUAAAGUCUUUUUUAAUUAUUCUUUCAAAACGGUUUCAUCGAACUCAAGAAAAAUGUCUGGCAAACAACAGAUGCUUACAGAUUGAGAAAUGUCAGAUGCUGUCUUGUGGCCAAACAACCUUGCUUGGAGGUGUGCUGAAAUGCAUCUGUGGUUUUCACACUCCAAAGCAGCCCACUGCCUCUACUGGACCAGCACAAAGGGUGGUGGGACAACCUGCUGCUGCUGAAACAGCAAAGAAGGCCAUGGAGCAGAGUCAGCCUGACCCCCAUCCUCAUCCCCUGCCCCAGCCCCAGCCUACUGCAGCUGUGGAAGCAAGAGUUGCACCACAAUUUUCAAUGGUAAGAAUUACUUUUUUUUUUAAUAGCACUGAAGUAUGAGUUCAGUUCAAAUUCGAUGAAGUUCAGAAAAUAAGAAGAAAAAAAGAAAAAGCAAGAAUGCUAUGAGAUGCUGCCUGAGACCUACUAAUUGUCACACCUCUUGUACAGUUGGGGCAGCUGUUGUCUGCUGAUUGGUCGGUUUGAAUAUCUCAGAUUUGUUUUAAGUCACAUGGUCAAGGAUAAAUGAAGAAUGUAACAUGUGCUUUCUCUCUUUCAUCUCUUGGCGCUACUCUUGGACUGUCCUCUUCCUCUCUAAAUGAGCUCUGCCUGGGUUGAAGGUCACUGAGCUAGACUCAUGUCCCUCAUGGCAUCUCUCGCUAUACUUCUCAUGUGUUUAAGCUACAUUUUCUCUUUCAUCUCAUGUAAUAUUCCACAUACAAGCUGGCUAUUAUAAAUUGUACACAUGCUAAUAAUUAUUCCAUCAUGCAAAUUCUGUGUACUGUAGUUAUUUCAAGAGUCAGUACUGAUAAUAAAUCAUUCCUCUUAUGAACGACA